UAGGGAAUCUUCGGCAAUGGGGGGAACCCUGACCGAGCAACGCCGCGUGAGUGAAGAAGGUUUUCGGAUCGUAAAGCUCUGUUGUUAAGGAAGAACGAGCGUGAGAAUGGAAAGUUCAUACUGUGACGGUACUUAACCAGAAAGGGACGGCUAACUACGUGCCAGCAGCCGCGGUAAUACGUAGGUCCCGAGCGUUGUCCGGAUUUAUUGGGCGUAAAGCGAGCGCAGGCGGUUAGAUAAGUCUGAAGUUAAAGGCAGUGGCUCAACCAUUGUAGGCUUUGGAAACUGUUUAACUUGAGUGCAGAAGGGGAGAGUGGAAUUCCAUGUGUAGCGGUGAAAUGCGUAGAUAUAUGGAGGAACACCGGUGGCGAAGGCGACUCUCUGGUCUGUAACUGACGCUGAGGCUCGAAAGCGUGGGUAGCAAACAGG
rnacentral:rRNA from 1 species